GCAGUUCAAAUCAAAAUACAAGUAUCUCCUGGUUGUUUGGUAAGUGCUGAUGAAGUACUCAUGAAAAAAAGUGUUUUUAUUAAAAAAAAGUCUAAUAACAAUAUGCCAGUGCUAAGUACUCUAAUUAAAAGUGAAGAGGUGUUUUAUUUCAAUUUUCCUCAACCAACAAUAGAGACUGAUUUAAACCUUCAGAAUUUGCUUAUUCAUUAAAGAAAUGCGUGUUUUAAAGAUUUUUGCUUCCAGCAGAUUGUCUUUUUUGAAUAAAAGAUAUAAUUAUUUCAGAAAAUCAUGUAUUCAAUUCCAAAAGAACAUGAGACAAUCAUGCAAUUUGCUGUAAAUCAGUAAAAGUAAAUCGUUCUGUAAAGUGUCAUAAAAAUUAAAAUUUUGUGCAAUAAUAUGAAUUGCAAAAUACAUGUUGUGCAUAAAUAUGUAAAAUGUCAUUAGUA
rnacentral:lncRNA from 1 species